rnacentral:rRNA from 1 species
CAGUAGCCGCGGGAACACGUAGGUGGCAAGCGUUGUCCGGAAUUAUUGGGCGUAAAGGGCUCGCAGGCGGUUUCUUAAGUCUGAUGUGAAAGCCCCCGGCUCAACCGGGGAGGGUCAUUGGAAACUGGGAAACUUGAGUGCAGAAGAGGAGAGUGGAAUUCCACGUGUAGCGGUGAAAUGCGUAGAGAUGUGGAGGAACACCAGUGGCGAAGGCGACUCUCUGGUCUGUAACUGACGCUGAGGAGCGAAAGCGUGGGGAGCGAACAGGAUUAGAGACCCGCGUAGUCCCUGUCUCUUAUAC